GCGGGGUAGGGCAGCCUGGUAGCCCGCGGGGCUCAUAACCCCGAGGUCGGUGGUUCAAAACGGGGCGCCCGCC
rnacentral:tRNA from 1 species